rnacentral:rRNA from 1 species
GGCGGCGUGCUUAACACAUGCAAGUCGAACGAAGCACUUCUAUUUGAUUUCUUCGGAAUGAUUAUUUUGUGACUGAGUGGCGGACGGGUGAGUAACGCGUGGGUAACCUGCCUCAUACAGGGGGAUAACAGUUGGAAACGACUGCUAAUACCGCAUAAGCGCACAGGACCGCAUGGUCUGGUGUGAAAAACUCCGGUGGUAUGAGAUGGACCCGCGUCUGAUUAGCUAGUUGGUGGGGUAACGGCCUACCAAGGCGACGAUCAGUAGCCGACCUGAGAGGGUGACCGGCCACAUUGGGACUGAGACACGGCCCAAACUCCUACGGGAGGCAGCAGUGGGGAAUAUUGCACAAUGGGCGAAAGCCUGAUGCAGCGACGCCGCGUGAGCGAAGAAGUAUUUCGGUAUGUAAAGCUCUAUCAGCAGGGAAGAAAAAAUGACGGUACCUGACUAAGAAGCACCGGCUAAAUACGUG